AUUGAACGCUGGCGGCAGGCCUCACACAUGCAAGUCGAACGAGUGGCGGACGGGUGAGUAAUGUCUGGGAAACUGCAUGAUGGAGGGGGAUAACUACUGGAAACGGUAGCUAAUACCGCAUACCAUCGGAUGUGCCCAGAUGGGAUUCGCUAGUAGGUGGGGUAAAGGCUCACCUAGGCGACGAUCCCUAGCUGGUCUGAGAGGAUGAACAGCCACACUGGAACGGUGACAGGGUCCAGACCCCUACGGGAGGCAGCAGUGGGGAAUAGUUCGCAAUGGGCGCAAGCCUGAUGCAGCCAUGCCGCGUGUAUGAAGAAGGCCUUCGGGUUGUAACGUACUUUCAGCGGGGAGGCGUUACCCGCAGAAGAAGCACCGGCUAACUCCGUGACAGCAGCCGCGGUAAUUC
rnacentral:rRNA from 1 species